CUAGCUCCCUUAAUGAUGAUGGCCAUGAACAAUCUCUACGGUCUUAAGGUGAUCUAUCUUCCAGGUUCAGAGAACGUGACUGUGGACUUCCUCAGCAGAACAGAAAUUCUUCCAGGAGAAUGGAAACUUCACCCGGCAGUCUUCGCAUGGAUUGUCCAUUGGUGGGGCAGGCCCCAGAUUGACCUGAUGGCGUCCUCCCAGAAUCAUCAGGUGGAGAAUUACUUCUCCCUCCACCCGGACAGUCAGGCAAUGGGCCAGGAUGCUCUCUCUCUUCCUUGGUCAUUCGAUCUGGGGUAUGCGUUCCCUCCCCUACCCAUGAUACCCAGG